UACGUAGGGGGCAAGCGUUGUCCGGAAUUAUUGGGCGUAAAGAGCGUGUAGGCGGUCCGGUAAGUCCGCUGUGAAAGUCCAGGGCUCAACCCUGGAAUGCCGGUGGAUACUGCCGGGCUAGAGUCCGGAAGAGGCGAGUGGAAUUCCUGGUGUAGCGGUGAAAUGCGCAGAUAUCAGGAGGAACACCGAUGGCGAAGGAAGCUCGCUGGGACGGUACUGACGCUGAGACGCGAAAGCGUGGGGAGCAAACAGG
rnacentral:rRNA from 1 species